rnacentral:rRNA from 1 species
GAUCUGGCUCAGAUUGAACGCUGGCGGCAGGCCUAACACAUGCAAGUCGAGCGGAUGAAGAGAGCUUGCUCUCUGAUUCAGCGGCGGACGGGUGAGUAAUGCCUAGGAAUCUGCCUGAUAGUGGGGGACAACGUUUCGAAAGGAACGCUAAUACCGCAUACGUCCUACGGGAGAAAGCAGGGGACCUUCGGGCCUUGCGCUAUCAGAUGAGCCUAGGUCGGAUUAG